AAACGUUAAAGGAAUUGACGGGUCCCCGCACAAGCAGCGGAGCGUGUGGUUUAAUUCGUUGCUACACGAAGAACCUUACCUGGGUUUUGACAUAGAGGUGGUAGGGAAGCGAAAGCGGACCGACCCUUCGGGGGAGCCUCUACAGGUGUUGCAUGGCUGUCGUCAGCUCGUGUCGUGAGAUGUUCGGUUAAGUCCGCUAACGAGCGCAACCCUCGCUGUGUGUUACAAGUGUCACACGGUACUGCCGGUAUUAAGUCGGAGGAAGGUGGGGAUGACGUCAAGUCCUCAUGGCCCUUAUGGGUAGGGCUUCACACGUCAUACAAUGGUCGGUACAGAGGGUUGCCAAGCCGCGAGGUGGAGCCAAUCCCUUAAAGCCGAUCGUAGUCCGGAUCGUAGUCUGCAACUCGACUACGUGAAGUCGGAAUCGCUAGUAAUCGCAGGUCAGCAUACUGCGGUGAAUACGUUCCCGGGCCUU
rnacentral:rRNA from 1 species